GUGUCUCGUGCAGUAUUUAUUAACGGUGUCUUACUUUGGGAUUAAGUGGGUUGUUCCAAAAAAAAAACAAUAGUAUUAUUUUCUUAAACUCUUUUCCGUGAGACAUCCUCAUUUUUCCCCAUUGCUCCUUUUUCUUUUCCAGGGCUUGUCUCCAAAUCUGGUUGCCUCCGCUCACAGGAAUCCUCUAAUUCUGGUUGUCUCCGCUUGUCCUAGGUAUCCAGCUAAAUCAGCUUCCUCAUAUUCUCCCUCACCCACAAAUCUACAAAUGGAACCUGAGGUAUUGCUGUUGGAGUAGCAUGGCGGACGUCCGAGCUGAAGAGGGUCAGGCAUCUUGGGUCUGUCCAGGAGUGCGAGGGGCUGGUGGCGUAGGCCGUCGGCCGUCUACUUGGAGAAGACAGAGGUCCUGAUAACAUGAAGCGGAUUACUUUACCAGGGAGUAGUACAUCAUCACCGGUGCUGUCACCUUCGAUCAUGUUCUUGCCUCCUUGAGCGCCUACAUAUUGUUCCCCUUGAUACCGGUGAAGUGGUGUAGCUCUCCAGAUCGGGAAUGAUGCUAGGAACUGUCUAGAACAUUGAGAAACAAUCAAGUUAAGACAUGGAACCAUAAAGUUGAGUAUUUUUCCUCUCAAGAUGUAUAGAAACCAUAAAGUGGAUUCCAUCUGUACUAAUACUUACAGGAGUUUCUAUCUUAUAAGUGUCAAAAACCUAUAAUUAAGUUUUGGAUUA